rnacentral:lncRNA from 1 species
CCUGGCUAGAGUCUGGCCACUUAACAUUUUUUAAUUCGUUAUUUUCUAUUUUAUAUGUGUAUGAGUGUUUUGCCUGAGUGUAUGUCUGUCUACCAAGUAUGUGCCCAGUGUCCAUGGAGGCCAGAAGAGGGCACCAGAUGCCCUGGCACAGAAUUACACUUUUGAGCUGCCUUGUAUAUGCUGGGAACCCAGCCAGGACCUUUGGAAGACCCACCACGUGCUCCCAACUGCUGAGCCAUCUCUCCAGUCUGACUUCCUCAACCAGACACGACAGCGCAUGCCUGGAAUCCCAGCAUUCAAGGGUAGAGAACUCCGAGCCACUCGGAGCUGCAGCGCUGGCGUAAGUAAGGAUGAGCGUGCCCGGGAGCCACGGAAUGUGACAGAGACUGCAGAGAAGAGACACUUUAAAUUUGUGCCAGGUCAGGGAGAGUGCAAAUAAUAAAAUGCUGAA